AUGACAACACAUCCCCGACACUUCCAAGUCAAACUUCCAAAAACUCAUAUUUUAAAAUGCAGUGAAGGGCCGGCGCCACGGCUCAAUAGGCUAAUCCUCCACCUGCAGUGCCAGCACACCAGGUUCUAGUCCCAGUCAGGGUGCCAGAUUCUGUCCCGGUUGCUCCUCUUCCAGUCCAGCUCUCUGCUGUGGCCCGGAAAGGCAGUGGAGGAUGGCCCAAGUCUUUGGGCCCUGCACCCGCAUGGGAGACCAGGGGAAGCACCUGGCCCUGGCUUCGGAUCAGUGAGGUGUGCCAGCUGCAGUGGCCUUUGGGGGGUGAACCAACGGAAGGAAGACCUUUGUCUCUGUCUCUCUCACUGUCCACUCUGCCUGUCAAAAAAAAUGCAGUGAAGGGGCUGGCACUGUGGCGUAGCAGGUAAAGCUGCUAUCUGCAGCAUUGGCAUCCCUUAUGGGUGCCAGUUUGAGUCCCGGCUGCUCUGCUUCUGAUCCAGCUCUCUGCUACGGCCUGAGAAAGCAGUGGAAGAUGGCCCAAAUGCUUGGGCCCCUGCACCCACUUGGGAGACCUGGAAGAAACUCCUGGCUCCUGGCUUCAGAUCAGCCCAGCUCUGGCCAUUGCUGCCAUUAGGGGAGUGAACCAGUGGAUGGAAGACCCCUCCCCCCAUUUCUACCUCUCUCUAACUCCACCUCUCAAAAAAAAUGAAAAAUAAAUCUUUUUUAAAAAUGGCAGUGAAAAUACUAGCUGGAUUAUUUUCAUUAGCUAAGUGUAUGCUGUGGGGCCAGUGCUGUGGCAUAGCUGGUAAAGUUGCUACCUGCGUCAUAGGCAUCCUGCGUGGGUGCCAGUUUGAGUCCCGGCUACUCCACUUCCAAACCAGAUCCCUGCUAAUGGCUUGGGAAAGCAGUAGAGGAUGGCGAAAGUGCUUGGGCCCUGCACCCACAUGGGAGACCAGGAAGAAGCUCCUGGCUUAGGAUCAGUCCAGCUCUGGCCAUUUUGGCCAUUUGGGGAAAGAACCAACAUAAAGAAAAUCUCUCUUUUUCUCUCUCUGCCUCUCUCUCUCUCUCUCUCUCUCACCCUCAGACCUCCUGGGGCUGUGGACACCACCACAAGGCUCUGAGAAAGAGAAAUUAUAAAACUUGUUUCUGCUCUGAGAUUGCUCUAUGGGCAGUGCCCUGGUGCAGUGGGGUUAGCUCCACCCAGGACACCUGGGAUGGUGAGGAAGCCAUGUGGCUCAGAGUCUCAGAGCUGCUGGGAGCUCAGAGCUGCUUCCCCCAGCCACAGAGGCCUGCAGCACCCUGGAAAGCAGCCCUGGGUGUCAGAGGAGCUAUGGGCCAAGCACAUCCAUUUCACGUGGAGAGCUCUCGCAGGCACGGCCGAGCCAGAGAUGACAGCGUCCGCGAGGCCCGUGCCAUCCUGGGCACCAUUGCAGGGUGGAGCACCGGCCUCUCAG
rnacentral:lncRNA from 1 species